rnacentral:rRNA from 1 species
GACAGAGGAUGCAAGCGUUAUCCGGAAUGAUUGGGCGUAAAGCGUCUGUAGGUGGCUUUUUAAGUCUGCCGUCAAAUCCCAGGGCUUAACCCUGGGCCUGGCAGUGGAUACGGGCAGACUAGAGGUAGGUAGGGGAGAAUGGAAUUCCCGGUGUAGCGGUGAAAUGCGCAGAUAUCGGGAGGAACACCGGUGGCGAAGGCGGUUCUCUGGGCCUUACCUGACACUGAGGAGCGAAAGCGUGGGGAGCGAACAGG